AUGCAACAAGCUUACUAGGAAAUGGAGGGGGUUUGGGUCUCCAAAAAAAUAAAAAUCUAAGUAGGCGGUCUUUUUUUUUCCCCUCCAUGUAUUAUUCUGAUAAAGGAUAAAAAUACACUUAACCAAAUAGUCACUUAAAUAUUUAGAUUAGGGCAUAAGAGGAGAGUGAAGUCAUUCUAUUAGUGUAGCGGAUAAAAUGUAUUUGAUCUGUGCUAGAUAGAAAUGAUUUGUGCAUGGAAGAAGUGUUGCUGGUGCAGUGCAGAUUUUUUUUAAAGUGCAAUACAUAUUCUCUAUUUCUGCUUCAGUUUACUUAAUUAACAAGAAAUUGCUGAUUCCUUAUAAAAUUGUGCUCCAAAGCAUUUGUUUCAAAUUCAUAGGAACUAGCUUCUGUAUGGGCUUACAACUUGCAAUAGUUGUGUUUGUACCAUGUGUAGCAAAUGAAAGCAACUUGGAUGUAGACGGAUUGUACUACAUUACUUCCAUGACAACAGGAAGCUACAGCUUCAAUUAGUGGUCAAGCCACUAUAGGAGCCAUAGUACAUGAUUGUAAGAAAACAAGAUACUCCGCUGCUUUGCCUUGAGGAGCUUAAAGCUGUAAAAUGAACCGACAAAGUGUGGGCAAGAUUACAGGGUGCUGUAAGCAGCAUGUUGAUUAAAAGUAGGGAUAUGUGAAUGAGAAUAAAAGUGUUUUCUGUUUUUGCUUUAUCAUUUCAGGGGCAGUCAUUCUGUUGACACUCAGGAGUUGCAGAAGAGGACAAGAGGAGGAUGAGAGUGGGGAUGCCUCAAAAAGCAAAUACUGAAAGAGGAUAUGACCUAAAGAAAGCAGACCUUUGGAAUGCUUCCAUACAGGUUACACAAGGUUUUGCAACUUUAUUCACUCCAUGCCUAUGCAGAUCUACUAAAGUUGCCUUUUGAUCCAAGAUGUCAAUAUCUGUGUCCACUGGGUGUUAAAGAUAAACAAAAUUUGCAGAUUGAACCCUGAUACAGGAAGAAAUACUUAGCCCAAGACUUUCCUGUUGCUGCCCAAAAAUUAGUAGAUAAAAGCACCUCCUAAUGUUUUUGUGGUUUCUCCCCUUCAUGUUCCUAUUCCUUUAAUUCUGGGACUAGUAUGAAUUUGGUAGUGUGUUGAUCAGUGCAUUGGCAGUGCUCACGUGUUCUUGCUUGCAGUGGUACCUGCAGUCUCAGGCACAUACCUAAAUGGCAAUGGCAGGAGGAACCCUCACAGCUGUGAUUUCCUAUGCCUCUGAGCCAUCAGUGGCCUCUUAAUAGAAAGGCACAUUUUUGUGGGGUCAAAAACCUGGGCUUAGGACUCUUGUUGCAUAUGAUCAGAUUUAAUAUGUUCUCCCAUUAGACUACAGGCUGCUGUAGAGCUGUGUGGGUGGAGCAGGGCCGUGGGAUCCUGAGAUCAUACCCAGGAUGGUGCAGCAGUAGCUGCAAUUUCCAGUAUGGAAGGCCAAAGAAAAGCUAAGCAGAAGAAAAUUGAAAAAACUUCUCAUAGCUGAUUGAGGCAAAGGGUGCAAACCACAGGAGCCUUCUGUCAUUUCCCUGGGUGGCCCAUUUCUAAUGGGGGGAGGGACGUGGGACAACAAAAGUUAACAGAUAUGGUUUUUGAGUAAGUUUUCUUUUUUUCCCACUUGGCUGGCAAAAACUUCUGAAUAAGGAAAUGUAACUUCCAAAGUAAGUAUUCUACUGAUUGAUUAUUUAUUUUACUUAUUAAUACAGAAUCAGAGCAGAAUGGUCAUGGGUUUUAGAGAUGACCUGUCCAAACAAAGUCUUAGACAUGUGAAUAAGCACAUGCAGAGAAGCUGGAUGAAAGAAAUAUCUUUGAGCAAGUCUGAGGCAGCAAAAAUCAAAGCUAGACUAGUGAAAUAAUAGUUUACAACCUCAGGGAGCUGAUCUUACACUGAGAGAGGAU
rnacentral:lncRNA from 1 species